rnacentral:lncRNA from 1 species
UUUAGGUUUAACAAAUUUGUUUUAGACUCUAAUUUUAUUAUUUUGUGUUUAAGUGAAUAUUAAUAAUUUUCAAGUGAUUUAAUUUCUAACUUUUUUUCUCUCUUCUUUUACUUGUUAAAUCUUCAAUUCCAUUUGGUUUGAUGCAAUUUUUUCUCAGACCAUAACCGUUUCGAUGGUACUUGUAAUAUAAUGCUUAAAUAAAAAAGGGUUCAGUCAUUAUAGUAUUAAAUGUAGCAAUCAAUUAUUCUAACUAUCUCUCGGGUGUUGUUCCCUCCACCACCCCUUGCUCCCUCCACCUCUUCAUUCCUGAUUUACUCCUUUCUUUUCACUUUUCUAUUCUUGUUUUAUCCUUCAAUAUAAUUUUAUUUUUAGGGUUAAUAUUUUUUAACUUUUAUCCACUCCAAUCCUUUAAUGUGAUGGUAUAGUUUAUGUUUAACUAACAUGCGUUAUUGGCAAUUUUGCUGUUUCUUUCUCUCUUCGAUCUCAUUACCCAAACAACACAACCAUUUUAAUGGUGGACGUGGAUCCAUGUUUCUAUGUUUCAUUUUCUUCUUUCUCUGUUUUUUACGCUUCUUUCGAUUGUUGUCUCUUUUGAACUUUCUGAUUGUUUAUCUUACCCAC